UAUUUUUCUGGUGUCCAAUCAUCUGGUUUCCUUCUUCGCGUUCAUGAGGAAGGGGCCGCGUUCGUGUGGCCCCCCUCGCUUUUUUAAAAAAGAAUGGGUCUGGGCCGCGUCAGACGCGAAGCCUUGUGUUCGCUACACUUGUCUCGCAUUUGCGAAAGCCAUUUUCGUUAGGCUGGGUCGUGUGUCAUUGCGAGGACGCGAUCGCCAGGACUCGAUCGCGUGGAGGCUCUGUGAUCACGAUGAAGGAAAUCACUGAAAAGUGAUUUAAGUUUGAUUUUUUGAAAAAGAAAUUCAUUUUUAAAUAUUUUAAGUUCAAGAGCUCGAUUUUGGUGAUUCCAAGCUCCAAACUCAAUAUUCUUCAUCGGGGUAAGAUUAUAACUCCCUUAUAGACUUAAUUACAUGAAUCCAUGAUUUUAGCUUUGGAGGACACUGAUUGGGGCGCACGUUAAGACAUUCUCUCUCUAGGUGCAGUUCACGCAAGGACUGCUAACCUACUCUUGACGGCAAAAAUGGCGAGAAAACGUGCUCCUCCGGUGAAACAAACCCAACCAUAACCUGUGGCCACUACUCUAAAUGCUAUAUUACUAGAUCCACCGGUCAUCACCACUCAUAUGGUGACCCCAAAAAUAGGGGUUCCUCAAACCCUAGCCCUAAUGUAAUUCACGCAAUGGUUACCGGGAACGAACGACGAGUCCAAAAUCCAACAAGCGCUGACGAAGAUUAUCAUGCAAAAAGUUCAAGGGCAGACAUCGAUGACAACCACCAACCCUACAUCUGUGGAGGACACUGUAGUAGGACAAGCAACAAGGAAACUUACUUACCCUCCGGGAAAUGCUGCUGGUGUUACAGAGGUAGCCAAGAGAAAUAAUAGAGCUCCAAAACGUGAGCUGAUAGAAGUUUUAUUCACCUACUGUUAAAGGUAUUUGAACACUUCUCUGAGCAGGAAAUCUAGAGAAAAGUUCUUUCUAUGUUGCUGGGGUGUCAAGUUCAUUUAGGGAUCAAAUACUACAAGAGCUGAGAUCCACUUUGGGGGAAAUACCAUUCAAGUGGAGAAGAUUGCUGCCAGGAUUGGGUGUUAGUCCUCCAAGUUACUCUCGUAUAGUGGAAGGUUGCAAUUAAUCAAAAGUGUGCUAUUUGAGAUGCAAACAUAUUGGGGGUAGGUAUUUCUAUUGCCGAAGAAGAUCAUAAGAAUGGUAACUACAGUCUGUAGAGUAUUCUUAUCGAUUGAGAAAUAUGUUAGCUCCACAAAAGCUUUAGUGGCAUGGGAUACAUUAUGUAUUCUAAAAGCACCUGGAGGCGUUAACAUUGUUGACUUUGAAAAGUGGAAUAAAGAUGCUAUUUGUAAGCUUUUGUGGGCAGUGUCACAUAAAAAGGGUACUCUAUGGGUACAACAGAUCCACGAUUUUUAUAUAAAAAACAAUGAGCGUUCAAGUCUAGAUACACCCAAACAGGCCUGUUGGCUUGUAAGGAAGAUAUUUGAGGCUAGAUCAUGGUUCCCACAAGUUGAUGCUAUAAGAUAUAAAUCAGUUCUCAACAGGGGGCAAGUUCAACAUUAAGAAGACUUAUAACUCAUCCCUGCCCCAGUAUCCAAGACCAAAAUGGAAACAAUUGUUACUAUCUUCAGGUGCUCUACCAAGGCACCAGUUCAUUAUGUGGCUAGCUGUGCAAAGCAGACUUGUAACAACGGAUAGGCUGGCUAAGUGGAACAUUCAAGUGGCUCUAGAUUGUGUGCUAUGUGCUUCAGGUACUGUGGAAAUAAUGCCCUAUUUGUGUUUUGACUGAAGGUAUUCCAAAUUCAUAUGGGACACUAUACUAGCAUGGCUGGGAAUUCACAAACAAAUUGGCACUUGGAACACAAAGAUCACUUGGCUUU